CUGUCCAUAGCUCCUGCUCAUCCUCCGUGCCCCGGGCACAUGUGGCUUUAUGUUGCGGAGGGAGCUGUCGUCAAGCAAUCUGGAAACUCAGAUUUUGUGACAAGAAAACCUUUUCAACCAAACACGUAAAUGGAAAAGCCACAAAUGUUGAAAAGCAACAGAACUGUUCUAAAUAAUGGAGUUAGCGGUCCUUUAUGAAUGCAUACAUCUCGGUUCUGCAUUGGGGACAGAUGUUUGGAGAGUUCUUGUGACAAAGACUCCCUUCUUGAGCAAACAGUGGUCCUCUGAGCACUCACCGUAAGGAGUACUCCAGAUUUCCGGCACGGCCUGUUCAAUCCGCCCUGAGACCGGACGUAAACCCUCUGUAGCCUCCACCAACUCAAGGCUAAGUCCUAGGACAACUGUCAUGGCCCCCUAACUUCAUCACAGAAGUCACCUCCCCUGGGCGUCCACUCUGCCCAGCCUACUCCUGACCAUGGUGCCCUGCCUGCCCUCUCCUUAGAGCACUUCCUCCAGAAAACUGGUCACUGUAAAUUCCUUCUCUGCCAAUACGAAAAGAAAAUCUUCUCUCAAUCUCCUCUAGGAUUCACAACUCAGGAAUAUUUUUUCUUUGGUGGGGAGCUGGGAGCUUCCUCUUAAUUAACCAUCCAGAAGGCAGGGUACUCUCUCCCACUGUCCAUGAAAGACUCUGCAGGAGCCUGAGUUGGACAAGUUCCUUUGAGCAAACCCAGGUGUCUGAUGACAUAAAAAAUGCCCUUGAC